AAAAAAAUAAUAGUGAAAAAAAAAGAACGAGAGUAAUCUGGAUCGGAAUAGCGGCGAGGUAUGAGGCCGAGGAGAGAUGGCGGGAGGAAAAGCGCCGGUGCCGGCGCCGGAACCGGCUCCCCUAGACGCUCCCGACCGGCCGGAGAAUCGAUCGCCAGCUCCGGCCCUCUGUCGUCCACGAGGCUCCCGGCUUCUCUCGUUGAGGACCCCGUUUUCCUCGCUGACGAUGAGGACUCGGAACUGUUUGUCGGCGUCGGAGGCCGAAGCGCGGCGAACCCAAGGAGCUUCCCGUAUAGCGUGAAGCAGCAGUGCUGGGAUAAGGCUGAGAAGGUGAAGGGCCGAGAUCCUGACCGAUGGCGCCGCGACGCCCUCGGCAACAUCGUCUUUCGGAAGCUCGUUGGAUGCCCUGGAUGCCUUUGUCAUGACUACGAUCACAUUGUUCCUUACUCAAAGGGUGGGAAGAGCACUUUGGAGAAUUGCCAGGUAUUGCAGGCUACUGUGAAUAGAUCAAAAGGGAAUAAAACUGAGCUAACCAAAGCAGAACUCAUUCAGAAGAGUGCUUACUGCAGAGUUUCAGGCCGAGACAUGGAUCUUUUAGAACUCUCAGCCUUUGGUAAUGUCCGUCGUGCGCAAGACUCUGGUGGUUGUAGCAUCCAAUGACAAAUUUCAAAUUAAUUUGACAGGGAGAAAACUAGUUAAUAUCUCUGCACUUGCAACAGAAACUGCUGGUUUAGUGAUCAAAUGCCAACUUGCAUGACUGUCGAUUGGCCACCAUCUCCCUUCCACUUCUUGGCUUUGAUGGAUAAGUGCACUCAUGCUCUGCUUUUGCAGAGUGGAGUCUUUUUGAAGCGCAAUGCUGUGUUACUUUAUGUGAGUUUCUCCAAUGAAUUGAUGACAGAGGAUAAGAGUGCUUAAAUUGGCUGGCCGCUUUGCUUCAAUGUUGUUCGAUUUCAAGUUAUGAGUUCUCAUGGAAGCUGAGAGAUCGAGAGACAGCGGCAGGAUUGGCGUGCCACACCGGAGAAGCCUCCGCUGUAUGUUUCUUGCUAUCGGUCUUAGGAUGGAAAGCCUUGAAC